GGGUCAGUAGGUUGGUCGUGCCACCGGUACGUACUGGUCUCACUGAUUCCUCCUUCCUGAAGAACCGUAAUGCCAUUAAUUUGGUGUUGCGGGGAGACAGGACUGUUACUUUGAAAAAUUUAGAGUGUUUAAAGCAAGCUAACGCUUGAAUACAUUAGCAUGGAGUAAUGAAAUAGGACGAUCGAUCCUAUUUUGUUGGUUUCUAGGAUUGACGUA
rnacentral:rRNA from 1 species